AUGCGCCAUCUUUUAAUACACGCCCAAGCUCGACACCCACUUCCCUCCCUCGGUCCCUCCCCACCUUCCCCCUCCCCCCAAUCCGCGCCUUGGUGCGGGCGAGGUAGCGGCGGCGACGAGACGAGCAGAGCAGAGCGCCGCCACCCAUCCAUGGAGUCGCUCGCCCUCCUCAGCGCUAAGCCCGGCCUCUCUCUCCGCGCGGGGCCCCGCCUCCCCCUCCCGCGACUCCGGGCCACCCGCGCGUCCCUCUCCACCGCGUCCAGCUCCAGGCCCGCCGCCCUCCAAGCCCCGCUCCUCUCGUCGAGGGCCCCCUCCUCGCAGGACGCCGUCCUGGGGUAUGGGCUCUUGAAGCGCAGAAUCAGUGCUGGCGUCUCUUGCAGCGCGGCGGCCGCGGCCGCGGCGGCGGUGCCCCCGGCACAGCCGGAGGUCAAGAAGUUCCUCGGCGUGGGCCUCCCGACUCUCAAGAAGAUCGUGCCCCUGGGCCUGAUGUUCUUCUGCAUCCUGUUCAACUACACCAUCCUUCGGGACACCAAGGACGUGCUGGUGGUCACCGCCAAGGGGAGCAGCGCGGAAAUCAUCCCCUUCCUCAAGACCUGGGUCAACCUGCCCAUGGCCAUCGGCUUCAUGCUCGCAUACUCCAAGCUCUCCGACGUGCUCUCCCGGGAGGCGCUCUUCUACACCGUCAUAUUCCCAUUCAUCGCCUUCUUCGGUCUCUUCGGCUUCGUGCUCUACCCGCUCAGGGAUGCCAUCCAUCCCACCGCCCUCGCCGACAAGCUUCUGGCGGCGCUCGGCCCGAGCUUCCUUGGACCGGUAGCUAUCCUCAGGAUUUGGAGCUUCUGCUUAUUCUAUGUCAUGGCCGAGCUGUGGGGCAGCGUCGUCGUCUCUGUCCUCUUCUGGGGUUUUGCCAACCAGAUCACCACAGUCGAUGAAGCAAAAGAAUUCUACCCUCUAUUUGGCCUUGGGGCAAAUAUUGCCCUUAUCUUUUCUGGGCGUACUGUGAAGUAUUUCUCAAAUUUGCGGAAGACAAUGGGUCCAGGAGUUGAUGGUUGGGAGGUAUCUUUGAAAGGAAUGAUGGGCAUAGUGGUACUUCUUGGGCUUGUCAUUACUUCCAUCUAUUGGGGAGUGAACAAACUUGUGUUGAAUGAUCCUUCUCUUCCAAAAUCUGACCACAAGAAGAAAAAGAACAAACCUAAGCUUAGCAUGAAAGAGAGUAUGAAAGUUCUGAUCUCUUCAAAAUACGUGAGGGACCUUGCUACCUUAGUCGUUGCAUAUGGCAUUAGUAUCAAUCUUGUGGAAGUGACAUGGAAAUCGAAGCUCAAGGCACAGUUCCCCAGUCCAAACGAGUACUCAUCUUUCAUGGGUGAUUUCUCUACCGCAACUGGAAUUGCAACUUUCACGAUGAUGCUGUUAGGCCGGAUUAUAUUCCAAAGAUUUGGCUGGGGGGUGGCUGCCAUGAUCACCCCCACAGUUUUGUUGGUGACUGGCGUUGGUUUCUUCUCUCUGAUUUUGUUUGGGCAACCACUGACUCCCCUGCUUGCCACGUGGGGUAUGACCCCUCUUCUUGCGGCUGUUUAUGUGGGUGCGUUGCAGAACAUAUUUAGCAAGAGUGCAAAGUACAGUUUAUUCGACCCAUGCAAGGAAAUGGCCUAUAUUCCUUUGGAUGGAGAUAUGAAGUUGAAGGGAAAGGCAGCCAUUGAUGUUGUCUGCAACCCAUUGGGCAAGUCGGGUGGUGCACUGAUCCAACAGUUUUUGAUCCUGAUAUUUGGCUCUUUGGCAAACUCGACCCCCUACCUUGGUGGUAUACUGUUGGUCAUCGUGCUUGCGUGGCUAGGCGCGGCAAGAUCAUUGGACAAGCAGUUCUCAAGCUUGGCCAAAGAGGAUCUCAGAAAGGAGAUGUCGAAAGAGAAAGUAGAAACGGCGGCACCCAAGGAACCUGAGUCGGCUACUGAUGUAUUGGUGGAGCAAUCAAAUGGAACUGAGAACUCACCAUCCGACUCAUCUCCAGCUCAAUAGACCGGUCAACCUUCUUUGGAGAAGCCAUAGGCAGGAGGAUACUGGUUACGUUGAGCAGAAAUAAUGAUGAAGGAACGAUUGACGAUUUCUUUCCAGAGUUUGUAACAGUGAGCAGCAUCAAGGUGCUGGUUAGUUUGUAAUGGUAAGCAAAUUUUGACAACUGGCCUGGUAGGCCUGGUGAGCCGGUGUGGAAAUUCAACCAUUGUUGCAAUUACAACACACAGAUUUUUAUUGUGUUCUCGCAAAGUUUCUGUCACACGGGCUCAGAACUUUACCAUGUCAUUGGUGCCUGGUCUCAUUUCCGCUGGAAUUGAACUGCUACUCUCUAUAGGCAGGAGCAAGCAAUGAAUUCAGCAUGUCCAACGACAAGCAGAGCAUUAGCAGCGGCUGGCCGAGAGCCGAGAGGGCAAAGUAGCAGAAACAUGUGAGCCCAUCCUUUUGUUGCCCAUUUCUAGGUCGUCUCAUAGGGCGGCCCAAGUGGUGGGAUGAUGAUGUGAUCACACAAAUAGCAAACCCCAUGUACACACUCUACAUAUAGGAGGACG
rnacentral:rRNA from 1 species